rnacentral:rRNA from 1 species
AUUCCAAUCGAACCUGGAGAUAGCUGGUUCUCCCCGAAAUAGCUUUAGGGCUAGCCUUAAGUGUAAGAGUCUUGGAGGUAGAGCACUGAUUGGACUAGGGGUCCUCAUCGGAUUACCGAAUUCAGUCAAACUCCGAAUGCCAAUGACUUAUCCUUAGGAGUCAGACUGCGAGUGAUAAGAUCCGUAGUCAAAAGGGAAACAGCCCAGACCGCCAGCUAAGGUCCCAAAGUGUGUAUUAAGUGGAAAAGGAUGUGGAGUUGCUUAGACAACUAGGAUGUUGGCUUAGAAGCAGCCACCAUUUAAAGAGUGCGUAAUAGCUCACUAGUCGAGUGACUCUGCGCCGAAAAUGUACCGGGGCUAAAUACACCACCGAAGCUGCGGAUUGAUACCAAUGGUAUCAGUGGUAGGGGAGCGUUCUAAGGACAGUGAAGUCAGACCGGAAGGACUGGUGGAGUGCUUAGAAGUGAGAAUGCCGGUAUGAGUAGCGAAAGACGGGUGAGAAUCCCGUCCACCGAAUGCCUAAGGUUUCCUGAGGAAGGCUCGUCCGCUCAGGGUUAGUCAGGACCUAAGCCGAGGCCGACAGGCGUAGGCGAUGGACAACAGGUUGAUAUUCCUGUACCACCUCUUUAUCGUUUGAGCAAUGGAGGGACGCAGAAGGAUAGAAGAAGCGUGCGAUUGGUUGUGCACGUCCAAGCAGUUAGGCUGAUAAGUAGGCAAAUCCGCUUAUCGUGAAGGCUGAGCUGUGAUGGGGAAGCUCCUUAUGGAGCGAAGUCUUUGAUUCCCCGCUGCCAAGAAAAGCUUCUAGCGAGAUAAAAGGUGCCUGUACCGCAAACCGACACAGGUAGGCGAGGAGAGAAUCCUAAGGUGUGCGAGAGAACUCUGGUUAAGGAACUCGGCAAAAUGACCCCGUAACUUCGGGAGAAGGGGUGCUUUCUUAACGGAAAGCCGCAGUGAAUAGGCCCAAGCGACUGUUUAGCAAAAACACAGCUCUCUGCGAAGCCGUAAGGCGAAGUAUAGGGGGUGACACCUGCCCGG